rnacentral:lncRNA from 1 species
CUCUGAGGUCCCUUCAACUCCAAAACUCAAGGAUUAUGUGAUGUUGCUAGAAGGAUUUCUACAUCAGAACCACAUGACAGGAAACAUAGCUAACAACAUCUCUUGAGCUUUCUGCCUCGCAGCUUCAGCCCCAAGAUAGACACCAAGCUGACUCUCUUUCAGCUUCAAAUCAAAUAUCCCAAGGAAGAGACGCAUCAAUCCAGCUUGGAACAGAUACCAUCUUUGCACAGGUCAACUCUGGAUCAUGGAUUUAGUGAAUCACAGCUCUAUCCCGUGAGAAUUUAAAAUGCCUAUUUCCCAAACGUGCCCACCAAGUACUUUCAUCCAAAAACAUUUACAUCUCGGGUGAACUCAAGUUGGUGUCAAGACAGUUUGGGAAAUGCUGACCUUGAUCGUGACAGACUCAAAAAAAUCUCAAGGAGGGCUGCCAUCAUCACAAAGACUUCUGAUCCAUCUAGUUUUGUUACUGAGACUUCUCUGAAGCAGCUGUCUCCCCCCCAAGCUUUCUGACUGUUUCAGGCACAAAGAGAAGGAAAAACAGGAAGAAAUUCCAGAAGACGAUUAUUGGACCCUAUUCUUGGAUAAGAUGCCUUCAAGUCUCGCCCACCAGCAAAGCUGCAAUAGGAGUUUUGAUUCUUUUGUGAAGGAGAAACCUUCUUUUGCAAGUUUCACGGGAAGAGAUUUAUUUGUUUGCUUUUUGUGUCUUGUUAUUUGCCAUUAACUUGAUCAAUUCAAUUCUCUAAUGGACUUUGUACUCUAAAAACACAUUUCUUGUUCAGGACUUGGGCGAAAAAACACCCUCCACGCACAGGUAUUUUCAAUUUUUUAAAAUCUAUCCUUUAGGUGAGUCUGUUGAAAAUUACUAUGAUAAUGUCUGCAGGUGGUCAGGGAUGAUAGACUCAGACGUAAGGCUUUGUCGCUGGCGAGAUCUGUCCGCAUUGCAGGAAGGAAAGAGCAAGAGCUUACCAACCAGAAGCUGGGCAGCCUCCACUCUCCAGUUCCUCAACAUAUCAAAACUACAGACUUUCCUGUAUUCAUAAAGGCUACUAAGGUCCCUGCUAGAUUAGCCUUGAGGCCAAUGAAGCAGGAGGGACCUCGUGACAGUAGGUGGGCAAGGAGACCUCUGAACACUCCUCUUGUAGGAGACACCAGACCUCAUGGUCCUAAGUUAGCAACCUUAAAAAGGACUAUUUCAAGAGGGCCUCAUGACACACAUUUGAAA